rnacentral:rRNA from 1 species
UACGGGGGGGGCAAGCGUUGUUCGGAAUUACUGGGCGUAAAGGGCUCGUAGGUGGCCAACUAAGUCAGACGUGAAAUCCCUCAGCUUAACUGGGGAACUGCGUCUGAUACUGGAUGGCUUGAGUUUGGGAGAGGGAUGCGGAAUUCCAGGUGUAGCGGUGAAAUGACGUAGAUAUCUGGAGGAACACCGGUGGCGAAGGCGGCGAUCCUGGACCAACACUGACACUGAUGAGCGAAAGCCAGGGGAGCAAACGGG